rnacentral:rRNA from 1 species
UUACUAAGUGUUGGAGGGUUUCCGCCCUUCAGUGCUGCAGCUAACGCAUUAAGUAAUCCGCCUGGGGAGUACGACCGCAAGGUUGAAACUCAAAAGAAUUGACGGGGGCCCGCACAAGCGGUGGAGCAUGUGGUUUAAUUCGAAGCUACGCGAAGAACCUUACCAGGUCUUGACAUCUUCUGACAGUCUAAGAGAUUAGAGGUUCCCUUCGGGGACAGAAUGACAGGUGGUGCAUGGUUGUCGUCAGCUCGUGUCGUGAGAUGUUGGGUUAAGUCCCGCAACGAGCGCAACCCUUAUUACUAGUUGCCAGCAUUAAGUUGGGCACUCUAGUGAGACUGCCGGUGACAAACCGGAGGAAGGUGGGGACGACGUCAAAUCAUCAUGCCCCUUAUGACCUGGGCUACACACGUGCUACAAUGGAUGGUACAACGAGUCGCGAGACCGCGAGGUUAAGCUAAUCUCUUAAAACCAUUCUCAGUUCGGACUGUAGGCUGCAACUCGCCUACACGAAGUCGGAAUCGCUAGUAAUCGCGGAUCAGCAUGCCGCGGUGAAUACGUUCCCGGGCCUUGUACACACCGCCCGUCACACCAUGAGAGUUUGUAACACCCAAAGCCGGUGGGGUAACCUUUUAGGAGCUAGCCGUCUAAGGUGGGACAGAUGAUUAGGGUGAAGUCGUAACA